rnacentral:rRNA from 1 species
UACGGAGGAUCCAAGCGUUAUCCGGAAUCAUUGGGUUUAAAGGGUGCGUAGGCGGGCAGGUAAGUCCGUGGUGAAAUCUCUGAGCUUAACUCAGAAACUGCCAUGGAUACUAUUUGUCUUGAAUAUUGUGGAGGUAGGCGGAAUAUGUCAUGUAGCGGUGAAAUGCUUAGAUAUGACAUAGAACACCAAUUGCGAAGGCAGCUUACUACACAGUUAUUGACGCUGAGGCACGAAAGCGUGGGGAUCAAACAGG